rnacentral:rRNA from 1 species
GGGUGCAAUCUUAGCAACACUAAAGCACCAGAUGCCAUCAGAACUCCGUAGUUAACUGUACUUGGGCGAGAGUAAUACUAGGAUGGGUAACAUCUUGGGAAGUCCUCGUGUUGCACCCC